UCUAACCAGAAACAAGUCUCUGUGCU
rnacentral:piRNA from 1 species